rnacentral:rRNA from 1 species
CCUACGGGCGGCAGCAGUGAGGAAUAUUGGUCAAUGGCCGGAAGCCUGAACCAGCCAUGCCGCGUGAAGGUCAGUGCCCUAUGGGCGUUAAACUUCUUUUGUGCGGGAGCAAUAAUGGGCACGUGUGGCCAGACGGGAGUACCGUACGAAUAAGCAUCGGCUAACUCCGUGCCAGCAGCCGCGGUGAUACGGGGGAUGCAAGCGUUAUCCGGAUUUAUUGGGGUUAAAGGGUGCGUAGGCUGUGAGGUAAGUCAGCGGUGACAUGCCUCCGCUCAACGGGGUGAAGUGCCAUUGAUACUGCCUUGCUGGAAUGCGGAUGACGUGGGAGGAAUGUGUGGUGUAGCGGUGAAAUGCAUAGAUAUCACACAGAACACCGAUUGCGAAGGCAGCUCACGAAUCCGCGAUUGACGCUGAUGCACGAAAGCGUGGGUAUCAAACAGGAUUAGAUACCCGAGUAGUC